CGGGCCGGACAGCCGCGGCCGGAAUCCGAAAGGAUCCGGGUGAGGAAAGUCCGGGCUUCGCAGGGCAAGGAUAACGGGUAACGCCCGCCGGGGGUGACCCCAGGACAAGUGCAACAGAGAGAUACCGCCGGCUUCGGCCGGUAAGGGUGAAAAGGUGCGGUAAGAGCGCACCCAGCCCAUGGAGACAUGGGUUUUAUGAUGUAAACUCUAUCCGAAGCAACACCGUGUGGGGGACAUUGGCUUGCCCGGCCGUCCCCAAGAGGUGGCUGGAACCCGGGAGCAAUUCCGGGUCUAGAUAGAUGGCUGUCAAGACAGAACCCGGCUUACAGGCCCGAUC
rnacentral:RNase_P_RNA from 1 species